rnacentral:rRNA from 1 species
GACGUAGGGCGCGGAGCGUUGUCCGGAUUUAUUGGGCGUAAAGAGCUCGUAGGCGGCUUGUCGCGUCGUCCGUGAAAACUUGGGGCUCAACCCCAAGCUUGCGGUCGAUACGGGCAGGCUCGAGUUCGGUAGGGGAGACUGGAAUUCCUGGUGUAGCGGUGAAAUGCGUAGAUAUUGGGAGGAACACCAGUGGCGAAGGCGGCUCACUGGACCGGUACUGACGCUGAGGCGCGAAAGCGUGGGGAGCAAACGGG